rnacentral:lncRNA from 1 species
CAUCAUGCUCAUCUUUAAAACAAGAAAAACCUGGACAAAUUGAAAAUCAAUUACUUGGCCGAUUAGAAAACCUCUACCCUGAAAUAAAGGAGAGAGAGAUAGUGAUCCAGAGAGACAGCUGGGAUCGGCUUCCCUGGAGCAGCAGCUGCUGGAGCUUAAAUUGGCAUUCUAUCAAUGGACAAGAGUGAUGUUACAAUUUCCAGCUGUGACUGUAAAACACUGUGAGUUUCUGUUUCAUAUGUUUUAAAGUUCUCGUAUUAGGCACGUAAACCUCCGUAAUUGUAUUUGUUCCUGAUAAAUUGAACAUUUUAUCAUUAUGAAAUACUACUUAUUACCUCUGGAAAUAUUUUUCUUUCAAAGAAUCGGUUGCCUGUGAUAUUAACAUAGCCAUCUCAGCCUUCUUAAGGUUGCUGUAAACAUGAGUUUUUCUGUAGACUUGUUUUCAACUUGUCUCUGUCUUUGUAUUUAAAGGGAAUCAAUGAGAGAUAGCAGAUAGUCAAGUCUUUCAUGUUUUUUUAAUCCUUUCUGAUAAUCACUGACUUUUAAUUGGAGUGCUUAGUCCAUUAAUAUUUAAUGUGAUUAUUGAUACAGUUGUGAUUUAGUUCUGCCCUUUUGCUUUCCAUUUUCUGUUACUUGUUUCUAUUUUUUAGUUAUUUAUUUCCUACAUUCUACUUGAUUACUGCAGUAUUAUUAGAAUUGUUUUAAUGUUACAAUAAGCUUUCCAACUUCACCUUUUACAUUAAUUUUUAGUAGUGGUUCUAGGGAUUAUAAUAUACAUUUUUAAUUUUUCUGUGUAUUUACUGUCAAUACUGUACCAUUUCACAUUUGAUGUAGAAAAUUUCUAACCACCUUUGUGUUACAGUUACAUAUAUCACAAAUACAUAACAUUGUAACCCCCCGGAGACAUAAUAAUGUUUGUUUUAAAUCA